GUAAGGAAUAUUGGACAAUGGUGGAAACACUGAUCCAGCCAUGCCGCGUGCAGGAUGAAUGCCCUAUGGGUUGUAAACUGCUUUUAUACGGGAAAAAACCCCACUACGUGUAGUGGGCUGAUGGUACCGUAAGAAUAAGGAUCGGCUAACUUCGUGCCAGCAGCCGCGGUAAUACGAAGGAUUCGAGCGUUAUCCGGAUUUAUUGGGUUUAAAGGGUGCGUAGGUGGACUAAUAAGUCAGUGGUGAAAGCCCGCAGCUUAACUGCGGAACUGCCAUUGAUACUGUUAGUCUUGAGUACAGUUGAGGUGGGCGGAAUGUGUCAUGUAGCGGUGAAAUGCUUAGAUAUGACACAGAACACCGAUUGCGAAGGCAGCUCACUAAGCUGUAACUGACACUGAGGCACGAAAGUGUGGGUAGCAAACAGGAUUAGAAACCCCAGUAGUCC
rnacentral:rRNA from 1 species